rnacentral:rRNA from 1 species
GCACAAGCGGUGGAGCAUGUGGUUAAUUCGAAGCAACGCGAAGAACCUUACCUGGCCUUGACAUGCUGAGAACUUUCCAGAGAUGGAUUGGUGCCUUCGGGAACUCAGACACAGGUGCUGCAUGGCUGUCGUCAGCUCGUGUCGCGAGAUGUUGGGUUAAGUCCCGUAACGAGCGCAACCCUUGUCCUUAGUUACCAGCACGUAAUGGUGGGAACUCUAAGGAGACUGCCGGUGACAAACCGGAGGAAGGUGGGGAUGACGUCAAGUCAUCAUGGCCCUUACGGCCAGGGCUACACACGUGCUACAAUGGUCGGUACAAAGGGUUGCCAAGCCGCGAGGUGGAGCUAAUCCCAUAAAACCGAUCGUAGUCCGGAUCGCAGUCUGCAACUCGACUGCGUGGAGUCGGAAUCGCUAGUAAUCGUGGAUCAGCAUGUCACGGUGAAUACGUUCCCGGGUCUU